AACUAAGUUUGUUCUGGGUAUAACCUUUCAUGUGCAUGCACAUUUCUUCAGAUACCGAUGGUGUUUUCAUAUCUGAAGAAGUGUGCAUGCACACAAAAGCUUAUACAGUGGUACCUGGGGU